rnacentral:rRNA from 1 species
GCCUACGGGGCGCAGCAGUGGGGGAUAUUGCGCAAUGGGGGGAACCCUGAUGCAGCGACGCCGCGUGGGUGAAGAAGCGCCUCGGCGCGUAAAGCCCUGUCAGCAGGGAAGAAAAUGACGGUACCUGAAGAAGAAGCCCCGGCUAACUACGUGCCAGCAGCCGCGGUAAUACGUAGGGGGCAAGCGUUAUCCGGAUUUACUGGGUGUAAAGGGGGCGCAGACGGCGAUGCAAGCCAGGAGUGAAAGCCCGGGGCCCAACCCCGGGACUGCUAUUGGCACUGCGUGGCUGGAGUGCAGGAGGGGCG